UUCCUGGUGGCGAGCGGCGGACGGGUGAGUAAUGCAUAGAAAUCUGCCCGGUAGUGGGGGAUAACCUGGGGAAACCCAGGCUAAUACCGCAUACGCCCUACGGGAGAAAGCAGGGGCUCUUCGGACCUUGCGCUAUCGGAUGAGUCUAUGUCGGAUUAGCUUGUUGGUGAGGUAAUGGCUCACCAAGGCGACGAUCCGUAGCUGGUCUGAGAGGAUGAUCAGCCACAUCGGGACUGAGACACGGCCCGAACUCCUACGGGAGGCAGCAGUGGGGAAUAUUGGACAAUGGGCGAAAGCCUGAUCCAGCCAUGCCGCGUGUGUGAAGAAGGCCUUCGGGUUGUAAAGCACUUUCAGUGGGGAAGAAAGCCUUGGGGCUAAUACCCUCGAGGAAGGACAUCACCCACAGAAGAAGCACCGGCUAACUCCGUGCCAGCAGCCGCGGUAAUACGGAGGGUGCGAGCGUUAAUCGGAAUUACUGGGCGUAAAGCGCGCGUAGGCGGUCUGAUAAGCCGGUUGUGAAAGCCCCGGGCUCAACCUGGGAACGGCAUCCGGAACUGUCAGGCUAGAGUGCAGGAGAGGAAGGUAGAAUUCCCGGUGUAGCGGUGAAAUGCGUAGAGAUCGGGAGGAAUACCAGUGGCGAAGGCGGCCUUCUGGACUGACACUGACGCUGAGGUGCGAAAGCGUGGGUAGCAAACAGGAUUAGAUACCCUGGUAGUCCACGCCGUAAACGAUGUCGACUAGCCGUUGGGCUCCUUGAGAGCUUUGUGGCGCAGUUAACGCGGUAAGUCGACCGCCUGGGG
rnacentral:rRNA from 1 species